rnacentral:rRNA from 1 species
CUAAGAAUCUUCCGCAAUGGGCGAAAGCCUGACGGAGCGAUGCCGCGUGAUCGAUGAAGGUCGAGAGAUUGUAAAGAUCUUUUCCACAUGAGGAAUAAGCGGGGGAGGGAAUGCCCUUGUGAUGACGUUAGUGUGGGAAUAAGCCCCGGCUAAUUACGUGCCAGCAGCCGCGGUAACACGUAAGGGGCGAGCGUUGUUCGGAAUUAUUGGGCGUAAAGGGCACGCAGGCGGCCCAGCAAGUCUGAUGUGAAAGACCCGGGCUCAACUCGGGGGGCGCGUUGGAAACUGCUGAGCUAGAGUAUUGGAGGGGGAGUCGGAAUUCCUAGUGUAGGGGUGAAAUCUGUUGAUAUUAGGAAGAACACCGGUGGCGAAGGCGGACUCCUGGCUGGAUACUGACGCU